rnacentral:rRNA from 1 species
GAGUUUGAUCGUGGCUCAGGACGAACGCUGGCGGCGCGCCUAACACAUGCAAGUCGAACGAGCGGAGACCCUUCGGGGUUGAAGUUAGUGGCGGACGGGUGAGUAACACGUGAGGAACCUGCCUUACAGAGUGGGAUACCGUUUGGAAACGAACGUUAAUACCGCAUAAUGUAUUGAAAUCGCAUGGUUUUGAUACCAAAGAUUUAUCGCUGUAAGAUGGCCUCGCGUCUGAUUAGAUAGUUGGUGAGGUAACGGCCCACCAAGUCGACGAUCAGUAGCCGGACUGAGAGGUUGAACGGCCACAUUGGGACUGAGACACGGCCCAAACUCCUACGGGAGCAGCAGUGAGGAAUAUU